rnacentral:rRNA from 1 species
GGGUGAGUAACACGUAGACAACCUGCCGAUCAGAUGGGGACAACAUUCCGAAAGGAAUGCUAAUACCGAAUGGCGUGUAGGGGAGGCAUCUUCCCUACAUGAAAGAUGGCCUCUAUAUAUAAGCUAUCACUGAUCGAUGGGUCUGCGUCUGAUUAGCUAGUAGGUAAGGUAACGGCUUACCUAGGCGACGAUCAGUAGCCGGUCUGAGAGGAUGAACGGCCACAUUGGGACUGAGACACGGCCCAGACUCC